rnacentral:rRNA from 1 species
GGAGUUAGCCGGUGCUUCUUCUGCGAGUAACGUCACAGAUGUAAGGUAUUAACUUACACCCUUUCCUCCUCGCUGAAAGUGCUUUACAACCCGAAGGCCUUCUUCACACACGCGGCAUGGAUGCAUCAGGGUUUCCCCCAUUGUGCAAUAUUCCCCACUGCUGCCUCCCGUAGGAGUCUGGGCCGUGUCUCAGUCCCAGUGUGGCUGAUCAUCCUCUCAGACCAGCUAGGGAUCGUCGCCUAGGUGAGCCUUUACCUCACCUACUAGCUAAUCCCACCUGGGCUUAUCCAUCAGCGCAAGGCCCGAAGGUCCCCUGCUUUCCCCCGUAGGGCGUAUGCGGUAUUAGCAGUCGUUUCCAACUGUUAUCCCCCACAAAUGGGCAAAUUCCCAGGCAUUACUCACCCGUCCGCCGCUCGUCAUCUUCAAAAGCAAGCUUUUGAAAUGUUACCGCUCGACUUGCAUGUGUUAGGCCUGCCGCCAGCGUUCAAUCUGAGCCAGAAUCAAACUCUGA